GUUUGAAAACAAGAGACAAAAAACAAAAAUCGAAAGAGAAAAAAUGAGAUCGAAAUUUUGGGUCCUUUUGGUAUUUGUAUUUGUUUUGGGGGGUGUUUCUCAAGAGAGAAUAUUCUUCUCCUGUUUUAUUUUUUCGUUUAUUUUGAGUUCACAGUUCUUUCAAAA
rnacentral:ribozyme from 13 species